rnacentral:rRNA from 1 species
ACGAACGCUGGCGGCGUGCUUCACACCUGCAAGUCGAACGGAAAGGCCCUGCUUUUGUGGGGUGCUCGCGUGGCGAACGGGUGAGUAACACGUGAGUAACCUGCCCUUGACUUUGGGAUAACUUCAGGAAACUGGGGCUAAUACCGGAUAGGAGCUCCUGCUGCAUGGUGGGGGUUGGAAAGUUUCGGCGGUUGGGGAUGGACUCGCGUCUUAUCAGCUUGUUGGUGGGGUAGUGGCUUACCAAGGCUUUGACGGGUAGCCGGCCUGAGAGGGGGACCGGCCACAUUGGGACUGAGAUACGGCCCAGACUCCUACGGGAGGCAGCAGUGGGGAAUAUUGCACAAUGGGCGGAAGCCUGAUGCAGCAACGCCGCGUGCGGGAUGACGGCCUUCGGGUUGUAAACCGCUUUCGCCUGUGACGAAGCGUGAGUGACGGUAAUGGGUAAAGAAGCACCGGCUAACUACGUG